rnacentral:rRNA from 1 species
GACGAACGCUGGCGGCGUGCCUAAUACAUGCAAGUUGAGCGCUGAAGGUUGGUACUUGUACCAACUGGAUGAGCAGCGAACGGGUGAGUAACGCGUGGGGAAUCUGCCUUUGAGCGGGGGACAACAUUUGGAAACGAAUGCUAAUACCGCAUAAAAACUUUAAACACAAGUUUUAAGUUUGAAAGAUGCAAUUGCAUCACUCAAAGAUGAUCCCGCGUUGUAUUAGCUAGUUGGUGAGGUAAAGGCUCACCAAGGCGAUGAUGCAUAGCCGACCUGAGAGGGUGAUCGGCCACAGUGGGACUGAGACACGGCCCAAACUCCUACGGGAGGCAGCAGUAGGGAAUCUUCGGCAAUGGACGAAAGUCUGACCGAGCAACGCCGCGUGAGUGAAGAAGGUUUUCGGAUCGUAAAACUCUGUUGGUAGAGAAGAACGUUGGUGAGAGUGGAAAGCUCAUCAAGUGACGGUAACUACCCAGAAAGGGACGGCUAACUACGUG